AGAAGAACAAGCGGAAAAAGGAAAGAGAGAAAGAGAAACAAAAGUAAUAAACAGAUUAUCCGAUCGAUACAAGCAACAUUUUUAACAUUAGCAUGUUUAAUUAUGUUAAUGAAAUUCAAUUAUAAUUCAUUUUGGAACGACAUUUUGUUAUGUAUCCUUGAUGGCUUCUCCAUGCUAAACGAAAAAAAUAAACCGAAUAAAGAA